rnacentral:rRNA from 1 species
AGAACGAACGCUGGCGGCAUGCCUAAUACAUGCAAGUCGAACGAACUCUUCGGAGUUAGUGGCGCACGGGUGCGUAACGCGUGGGAAUCUGCCCCUUGGUUCGGAAUAACAGUUGGAAACGACUGCUAAUACCGGAUGAUGACGAAAGUCCAAAGAUUUAUCGCCAAGGGAUGAGCCCGCGUAGGAUUAGCUAGUUGGUGAGGUAAAGACUCACCAAGGCAACGAUCCUUAGCUGGUCUGAGAGGAUGAUCAGCCACACUGGGACUGAGACCACGGCCCAGACUCCU